UGAGCUAGGAAAAAAAUAUGCUGUGCGAGAUGCAUAAAGAGUUCACAUCUGAACAUCACAUUAUCAAAGAAAAAUCAAGUUGAAACUUGAAGGAUGCGUCAUUGUCACAAAAUUAUAAUCAACACGAACAAAACCAACAGAUCACACCCAAAAAGAAAAUAGACGGAGAGUUGGAUUUACAAAAUUCCAAUUCUACCCACACUAGAGAGAGAAAGGAUGAUUUCCCAGACACUAAUAUAGCCGGGCCCACCUCUCCUGUGCAAAUUUAUCAUUUAAUGGCCCUACAAAUAUUUUUCCCCCCUUCUGUCAAGAAAAAGAAAAAAACAAAACAGAAAUAAGGAAAAAGAAAGAAUGGAAAUUAAUUAAGAAUGUUCAGGUUAACAAAACCUUUCUUUUGUCAUUUCCGAGUCUUUGUCUCUCUGGCAGCCUUCUUAUCCUCCUUUCCAGGUACAAACCUUGGCAAAUUUAACAGGGUGUUGACGCGAGAAACUCCUUCUAGGGCAGACCACUCUAUCCCAGAUUCUAAUUGCAUUUCAUCUUGCUUUGAGGAAUCCUCAUCUGCACUUCCAUCUAAGAGUACCUCUUUCCCACUCCGCACGGUACCUGAACGGCCCAGUCCAGUUGCACCAGAGGGAUCAUCCUCUUUCUGACUGUCAAGGUCAGUUUGAUCCACUGAAGUAGGCUGCUGCUCUUUUGUAUUAGCGUUGGAUGCAGUGGAUAAAUUGCUAGUGCCAAGGAAGAGGCAAACUACAGCACAAUCAUCCACUUUGGAAGUUGGAUACUUGCAUCUCCAAGCUCGAACUGCUGACUCAACCAAGGCUCUUGCUGCAGAGGAACGUGAUGGGGCUGAAGAUACAAUGUCUACCACUUCUUUAUUUGAGAGAACAUCCCAAAUCUACAAGAAAUCAAAACACAAUAACAUCCCAACAAAAUGAAAAUGCAGAAUGUUAAAUUCAUUCAAUAUUUGAGAGAAUGGAUUACAUGCUAUACUAGAGUCUAAUUCUUACCCCAUCAGUUGCCAAAACUAUAAACUCAUCCUUAUCAGUUAGGCGCUGGCAGGAUAUAUCGGGCACAGAGAUAAGGCCAAAAUCCUUCAAGCAAAAAUCACCAAAUGCUCGUGCCAUGGCAAGGCCAGGAGAGUCAUUGUUUGGUAGCCAGACCCUAGCUACCUCAGGUUCAUCCUGAAGAGCAAAAACACGCCCUUUACACUUCCGUAUUCUUUCCGCUUCCGCUGGAAGAUUUGGUUUAAGAUCAACAGUCAACUGAACUGCAACAAGAGAGUCGUCCUUGUCCCUUGUACCCAGUACAGCCCUGGAGUCCCCAACAUUACCAAUGACAAGAUAUUGACCCUUCUUGACCAAUGUAACUGCUGUUGUACCGCUGCAAAAGCAAUCAAUAUUUGCAUGUAGUCUCAGUUCCCUGUCCAUGAUUUUGAAAGCCUUGAGAAAUGACUCUUUCAGUGUCUGAAAAAUCUCUGGAUGCUUUUCAGUUUCCUCAAGAUCAACAGAGGCCCUAGAUUCUUCAUCAGCAGAUAUAAAUGCAGUGUCUUCAGAGUUCAUGCUUCCGGUAGUACUAAGGCUAAUCUCUUUGAGAACAUCUUCACUGGUUUUAUUGACUUCCAAGUGAGCACUUAGUUUCAGGGGAAGGUGAUCCCUCACUCUUUUAGCAACCAUAUGACCAUAAGGACCAUGGCCAUCAAAAACUCCACAAAAUACUGUAUCUGUCCUUGAUCCAAAGUUCUCCCAAACAAUCAUGGCAUCCUGAUUGGUCCCUUUCUUGCCUUGUUGGGUAAACAGUGAAGCAAUAUUGCUCGACCCAUUUAAGAACAACCUCCCUGGAAUCCUAUGAAGCGGCUCUUCCCUCCUAUAGUCAAAAGAAGAAUUCCGUGACCCUGGUCGCUUCUUCGAGUUCUUCCUCUUCUUGAUCCCAAAAGCAGGAGAGGAAGGCGUACCAGGACGAGGGCUCCUACUUUCUGCAGACAAGCAGGACCCCAUCCUGAGGGCCCUGAUAAUAUCUAAUAUGCACUCCAGACCAGCCAGACAAUAGCACCCACUAUUUUCAGAAGAGGGAUCCGUAAGAACUGAUUGAUUAAGAAUCAGAAAUGUAGUUUUGAAGUUACAGGCCAAUGAUGGUAUCAAUCAACCAAAUUCACCCUAUACUUUCCAAAUAUUUAACAUGCAAUAUCUCCUUCAAAAACAAAAUCCCCUUCAAGAUACGAAAUCAAAAAGGCAUUUAUUCCAAGAUUGUUGCCCAGCAAGUUCAUCCAAAUCCCAAAAUUUUCAGCAAAUACAACAAAAAAUUGAGCUUAAAAUCUUCACUGGAGCACUCAAAACAGCAGUUCCUGUCCAGAUCAAGCUUUGAUUGAUAGAGAUGGAAGCAAAACCAAUAGAAAUGGGAAAAACAAAGCUACAACAAAAAAUUGUUCAGAACAGAGAAGAAAGUUCAAUGCUGGCAUAAAAAUACCAUGCUCAAGGAAAGCAAGACAAAACAAAAUGGGUAGAUAGUAGAAUUUGGAAAGAGAGAUGGGAUUUUGUAGAGAAAGAUGGAGUGCAAGUGGGUAAGGGAACCAGAAAUGGGAAGGGCAGCAGAAAUCGAUUAGGAGAAAUAAUAGGAACCGCCAACACCAGAAAGAAGAAGAAAAUUGCACAAAAACCGCUCUAAAUAAUUACUUAUAGAGGGAGAUCGGAGGAAAGACAAUUAUAGAGAGAGAAAGAGAAGUACGUUCUCUUCUUCUCUCCCUUGUCUGUCACUUUCGCAAAGUUUCAUAUGGCGAGAUUUUCUGAGAGAGAUU
rnacentral:misc_RNA from 1 species